CUGAGACAGAGAAAGCAAGAUGUGAAGGCAGAACUGGGAAAAGUAUUGUAAAAUAUGAUGAAGUGCUUGAAACAGCGAUGGUGAAAUUCAGGACACAAACAUGGAAUCUGAGGAAGAACAAUGCAUGAAGAGGACAUUGGACAUACUUUCCAGAACUGAAUGGUGUUAAUUUCAGACAUUAUUUCAAGCCUCGAAGGUAUACUAGAGAAGACUUUAUUCUUCCCCAGAGGGCUGUAUUAUUAUGAAAAAGUUUGGCCUGUGAUGUGCUAAAUUUGAAAAUUAAGAAAGCCUGGUAAUUUUAUUUUUAUAGAAAAAAGCAAAAGCAUCUCAAUGUUGGCAGUGAAGGUAAUGUUUUCAGCUUGGUUUUUAAGCCCAAAUAUUAAUAUGCGGAAGGCUGACAGUUCUGAUUCCAUUUAUCUCACUUACAAUAUGCCUGUGCUCUCAUGCAGUAAGUCUUGGUUCUGUGGUUAGGAGAGAUCAGACCGCAUAACAUAUUGUACUGCUAAUCCACAGUUUUUCCCUAAAACGGCAAGCAGGGCCGUUCCAAACAUCUUGCUAAUGAGCUUUCUUUGCUUCCUCUGGGAACGUCGAUGGGGUUUGCCCUGAGUCCAUCUGGAGGCAAUAGGAAAUCAGACUGACUAGGUUAUAAAUCCAGAUGAAACCUCCAAGGAAGAGCGCCUUGUCUGUGCCAUCUGUUCAGACUGAGCCGGAUGUGAAAUAUAAGGUGUCACUGGCACGAUCCCCGGAGGACUGUCACCGAAGGAUCCUCCUUCAAAUUGCCUUCAAUUUAUCACUGGCUGCUUUAAUUCCUUUCCACGCUGUUCAUCAUUGUGUCGUCUGCCUUCCAAUUCCCCUUGGUCUUUAAACACAUCAGUGACCCGGCUGACCAGCUUGGCACACUCACAGAACAUUGCCUGCGUUCUCAGAUGCCUACUCCUCCCCGCCCUGCUAGAUGACACAUGGACUCCUCAGUUUCCACUGAUGGCUGGGUGUAAAUACCACAGUCGUUCCUUGAGUUUUAUUUUGCAUCUUCCAUGAACCAAUGAGACACUUCAGCCUGGUUUGACCCCUCGUGUUUAAGUCAGAAUCCUAGCACAUCUUUGGAUCGUCUAAUUCUCUAUGUUACUAAUGGCACUAAAAUGAAAGGAAUAUCUACUCUUUUUUAAGUGACCUAAGGAAAAUAGUUUUUUUUUCCAUCUCUUUCCUUCCAUUUUGAAAAUGGACAAGCUUUUUUCUAGUCUUUCUUCAGAGCAUUUUCUCCAUUAGUGCCUCUUCCUUUUUAUUCCUGAUGAACUUGGCCUUGUGGCCUUACAUGGAGGCAAUGGCUUUUGCUGAGAGGUUGCUGUCCCACUGCAUGGCCCUGUGCAUCAUAGCCUGGAGGCUGAGCUGCGCCUGUACAUUGGUUACCAUGGCCCGGCCACUGAUGCUGUACUCCAAAGCUUUCCAAGGCCAGGGCAUCAAUUCCAGGAGACUUUGACCUUGACUUUGACCUUUUCCCUAGCAUGACAUUUCAGAGGCCAGAUCCAAAAGAGCAACAGAUAGGAUGCACAGUUGUUCCUGGCGUUCUACAAGACCAAUGACACGUGUGGCCUUCUUGGAACUUGACCACAGUCGUAAUAAACAUUCAUUGUUACAUGGAAUGUUUCUAAUGAAGCAAAGACACCA